AUGUACUUCCUUUUUGGUUUUCUAGCAGUGUUGAUAUAUUUGCUGACAUGUGACAGUUUCAAAAUUAUAAGCAACUCAAUGAACCAGAUGCAAUAUUCAUGUAGAUUUAUCUGCACUUGUCUGUUUGAAUCAUACCCAUACUCAGAAAAGCAUUCAUGUCUCAUUUUUCAGAUCUACAUUGUUCAGAAUUCUUUUGUAUUCUCUCAGACUAUUGUUCUUCAUGAUAUAUGUGGUCUGAAUUCAGGCGAGGGUAUAAUCAGAGAGAUUAUUGGAAUUUAUUGGGAUGCCGACUUUCUGUUCAUGAGGAUAAAGACUAUGUCACAAAUAUACUACAUGUGACAGAGAAGCUUUUAAGAAAAGAAAAACUCAAGAAAUCCAUCCACAUUCCUAUCCAGCAAACGGCCUGGCUCUUGUACUGCUGUUAAAUUGCACACCUCCAUUCUUUACCACUAGCAAGGAGAGAAAACGGGAAUUUUCUGUUGAAUCUAAAUCCCAGACAAAGGAAAAUCUACAGUAAGUCUGGUAUUGAAUAUUGAGCACCAGAUUUGCCAGCCAUUUUCAUUUAAAGUUGUUAUAAUUUCUUUUUUAAAAACAAGAUUUCUGUUACCAUCCUGCUGAUUUUCUGUUG
rnacentral:lncRNA from 13 species